AUGAUCAAAUCAAGCUGAAACACUUGUUCCCGUUCGAUCACUGAAGUUAAGAAGUGCCAAGCUCAGUUGGUAAUUGGAUGGGGGACUACUCAGGAACACUAGGUAGUGUAA